UUCGGCAGGAGCGAUUCAGGGCUUCGUCUGGCCGAGUCUCCGGGCGAGGUGGAACCUCCGCGGCCGCCUGCGGGGGCUCUGCGGCCGGCACGGGAGGGAUGCGAGUCACAGAGAGAGAAAGAGAGAGAGAGAGGCAGAGACGCAGGCUCCAUGCACCGGGAGCCCGACGUGGGAUUCGAUCCCGGGUCUCCAGGAUCGCGCCCUGGGCCAAAGGCAGGCGCCAAACCGCUGCGCCACCCAGGGAUCCCGAGAACAGCUGACAGAUUCUAUGUGAGGAGGAAGGACCUGGAAGGAAGAUGGUGGCACUGCCAGCAGAGGGCUGUUAGGGAGACGUGGCUCGGAGGAAGGCCAGAACCACUGCAGCCCACCCAGGCCUGGGUGUAUUCCAGAUGAUGGUUUUGGUGCCAUACCUGAGAAGUCUUUGCAUAACCCCAGGUGACAAAGAUUUUUUUCUAUGUGUUCUAGAAAUUCUGUGAUUUGGGGUUUUACUUUUAGUCUCUGGUCCAUUUUGGUUAGUUUUUACAUGAUGUGAGAGCAUACUGAAUUUCUUAUUUGUUUGUUUGCAAAUGGAUAUCCAGUUGUCCCAGCACCAUUUAUUGAAAAGGCUGUCCUUUCUCCAUUGAAUUUUCUUUGCAUCUUUUUUGAAUAUCAUUUGACCAGAUAUAUGUAAUCCUAUUUCUAGAAUCUCUAUUCUGUUCCACUGAUCUACUUAUCUUUAUACCAAUACCAUACAGUGUGAUUACUAUAGCUUUAUAAUAAGUCUUAAAAUCAGGUAGGAUAAGCCCUUCAAAUUUGCUCUUCUUUUUCAAAGUUGUUUUGACUAUUUUUGUUUGGGAUUUUUUGUUUGUUUGUGUGUUUUGCAUUUCCAUACAAAUUUUAUUUUAUUUUAUUUUUUUUAAUUAAUUAAUUUAUUUAUUUAUGACAGUCACAGAGAGAGAGAGAGAGAGAGAGAGAGAGAGAGAGAGAGAGACAAGCAGGCUCCAUGCACCGGGAGCCCGACGUGGGAUUCGAUCCCAGGACUCCAGGAUCGCGCCCUGGGCCAAAGGCAGGCGCCAAACCGCUGCGCCACCCAGGGAUCCCUCCAUACAAAUUUUAGAAUCAGCUUUCUAAUUUCUACAAAGAGGACAAUGCGGUUUUGUUUAGGAUUGCAUUGAUUUUACACAAAUAGUAAGACUCAUCAUUUUUUUUUUAAAUCAUGCCUCAAGAGUCACAGUCACUUGUUUUCUAAUGUUCAUACUUUUAAAAAGCCAAUUGUUUCUCUCUCUCUCUCUCUCUCUCUCUCUCUUUAUUUUAGGUGUUUUGUUUUUUGUUUUCAGUUUUGGUUGUUUUUUUUUUUGUUGUUGUUUUGUUUUGUUGUUGUUGUUGUUGUUUGGUUUGGUUGGUUCAGGCAGGAAUUGUAAAUCUGAUUCCUGUUAUUCUAUCUUGACUGGAAACGGGAGAGGAGCAUCAAGGCCUUUGACACCAAAUCCUUUGCUCUUUCCUUAAGAAGCCUGCUGGAAGAGAAGGUGGAUAUAGUCUCACCUUAAAACAAACAAACAAAGAUGGAAUAAAAAGUUAAAUUUGGGACGCCUGGGUGGCUCAGCAGUUGAGCACCUGCCUUUGUCUCAGGUCAUGAUCCCAGAAUCCGGGAUCAAGUCCCACAUCAGAUUCCCUGCAAGGAACCUGCUUCUCCCCCUGCCUAUGUUUCUGCCUCUCUCUCUCUCUCUCUCUCUCUGUCUCUCAUGAAUAAAUAAAUAUUUUUUAAAAAGUUAAAUUUUACUCCCAUUACUGCCUUCAAUAAAUACUUAUAAAUACCCUGUCCCCCACUUUCUGAUAUGACUACCCACCAAUUUUUAAAUUCCCAAAUUUUUAUUCUCACACAUUAAAUCCAUUAUUUUUGUUUAAUUCUUAUUAUGAAAAGUCACCCAAAAAAAAAAAAAACUAAUAUUGGAGCAAAUUUACUGAUUUGGAGGAGAUGCCUUUUCCUCUGUAAUUCUGCUAUUUAAGUGACCUCCUAGUAUACAGGACAUAGCCAUUUCGUUUGAAAAGAGGGACUGUUAUUUUAAAAUCUCAUCUUCUCCCAAAACAGCAGAAUCCAGGACUAUGGGAUAUUGGUGGUUCUAAGCAGAAACCCUAAUGAUCUACCAUAUAUACUUAGCUUUUGACAUCAUCAACUUUUUGGAAAUGAAACUGUUGGGAAAGCUGAUCUAAUGUCAUCCAUUAAAUAAGAAGGAUAAAAUUAGAUCAUUAAAAUGAAUGUGGCUGGUGCCAAGGUGAACAUAAUGAAAAAUACGUUAUUACUCUCCCUUAUUUCAAAACAACCCUUUAAUUAAGAUUUCUUCCACCAGCAAAACUAAUUUCAUAAGUUUAUACAGCCAGCAAAUUUCAAUUUGCACCUCCAGAAAGUAACCCUUUUGCAUUAUAGGGAAUUUAUGUUUAUUAUCCAGGAAGGAAAUGAGGCCAGAAGGCAAAGAGACACCUCCGCGUGGUGGGGUGAUGAUUGUCCUGUCCAGCCUGGGCACACACAGAGAACAGUUACAUUUCCAAUUCCUCAGACUAAAUUUAGUCUUAUCUACUUUUCACAUCAACAGCCAGUCUAAAAAAUAUUGUUGGAGAUAACAGGCUGGCUCUGGACUGUAUCCCUCCUUGAAUUUGUUGAUGAAAGUAGAAGCCUGAAUAGCAGAAUCAUUCCAGUUUCUGGUUUCCAUGAAGAUGGGGCAGCAUAAAUUCAAUAACUGUUCAGAAUAUUAAUUUAAGCUUCAGCCUGACAGCCAAUGAUCACUGGAACAUAUAGUACUGACCCAGCUGCUCAGCUGUUUUAGAAAUGACUUAAUUACACAGUUGGAAUAGCUGCUAGCGCCAAAGACACAAGGAAAAAAAAAUACUUAAAGGAGAAACAAGACAGGAUUAAUUUCUGGUCUAACUUAUUAAGACCUCCUGCUGUCACCUUUUGCCAAGCCACUGAGCCUUCACUUCUUAGAAAAUGAUCACAUACCUCCAGCUACUCUUAUUCGUUCCCUUGAUUUUGCAGAAAUCAUAACAACACCCAGGAGUCAUUAAAAGCACCUGGAGCAUGUAAUCUGUUCCAAAUGGGAAAAGACUUCCCAAGGGGACCAGGGAUGGUCCACAGAGCCUCAUCCCUUCCCUCCGUGGUGUAAAAUUUCCCACUAGACAUUGCUACACAAGCCCAGGAUGCCUCUCAUUUCUCUUCUACCCUCCCCCUCCUCCUUUCUCUCCUCUUCCCUCUUUCAAUCUUUCUUCCUUCCCUUGUCAGCCUUUGGCUGCUGGAUUGAGGCUGAAGAUGGGGUGUCAGACACAGUCAGAUGUGGAGCUGCUGUCCAUGCACCUGCUGAGCAAUCUGUAUUCACCACUCAUUGAAUCCUUACAAAAACCUAGAGAGGAGGUGCUUCUCCCUGUUACCCAGGUACAGCAAUGGAGACCAAGAGGGCUUCUGUCAUUCCUGUAAGGCCAUUAUACUGGUGAGUAAGUGACUUCUCUCUGUUUUAAAACCAAUCUCUGUGAUGCUGAGGCUGGGACUCUGCAAACCACAUUUCUGCUUUGUCAUUGGCUCUUCAUUGGCAUGCUAGCGGGAGACUGUAGGGCUGGGCAAGGGAGAAGGAACUGCUGCUUCCUGUUUGCUUCCUGGUAUAGUCAGCAUCAUGCCUGUGGUGGUUUUCAUCUCAGUGGCAGUAACUUCCCACAUCCCCAGACCAGCCCUCAAAAAUGCCAGCGUCAGUCAACCCAGAGGUCUGGGCCCCAGUUAUAAAGGGCUCUGCUCUAAGUUUUGAGGUUCUAAUGCCUUCAUCCUCUUCUCUUUGUCCUGCUAGUCCUAGGAGUAAUAGCUGCUUCCUAAAGUCACCAUCCCUCUGGUGCCUCAGUGGCUGCUUCUUCUUCUUCUUCUUCUUCUUCUUCUUCUCCUCCUCCUCCUCCUCCUCCUUCUCCUUCUUCUUCUCCUUCUUCUUCUCCUUCUCCUCCUCCUCCUCCUUCUUCUUUCUUCUUCUUCUUUCUUCUUCUUUUCUUCUUCUUCUUCUUCUCCUCCUCCUCCUUCUCCUCCUUCUCCUCCUCCUCCUCCUUCUCUCCUCCUUCUCUCCUCCUUUUCUUCUUUCUUCUUACCUUUUUGCAUCUCCAAUACCCAUUUAACCAAUUCCCUCUGUUAAAUUCUUUUCUGUGAAAGUUACUGGUUUAACUAAUACACAGAGCACUAGGAUUCAAAACCAAGUAUGUCUGACUCCAGAUCCAGGCCCUUGAUCCCUACUCUGUGCUAUUCCCAUCCACUUCCUCUUGCUACCUGUGGCAAAAAUGCUUUGCUUUGAUCAACCUUUACUUAACCUCCUGAACCUUCUCUGAAGCCCAUUUGUACACUACCUUAUAAAACUCUAGUUUUAGCAAGAGCCCAGCUAAGUCAGUUUAACCAGAACCUUCUACCCUUGAUAUCUCAUCAGGCUCCUCAUGCUCCACUACUCCCCCAGGUGAUGUCUGGUCACCCUGACCUGUCUGCAGCAAGAAUCAGUCAGUUUAGCUAGACAAAUCCCCCUUACCCUGGAUGUUUCCUCUCAGUGAUUUUCCAUCUACUGACCCUAUCUGUGCUCCUUGGCUCUAAAUUCCCACUUGCUCAUCCUGUAUUCAGAGUUGAGCCCAAUAUCUCUCUCCCACCGUGAAAUCUCAUUGCAGUGGUCCCAAUAUGUUCAUGAUAGUCCUGAAUAAGGUCUGUCUCACCAUCUUCAACAAGUAUCAUUAAAAUUGUUUUCAUUAACAGUGGCAUUCAGAAAAUACUUUGGAUCAAAUCGUUAGGACCUCAAGUUACAGUCUUUGGGUGUAUUCCCUGGGGAAAGUCCUAAACCUUGUCAUAUUGAUGACUGAAGAUUCCACCCUCUGUUAAAUGGUUUGGAAAGCACCUGGCAUAACAUGAGUGAAUACAAUAGCCUCAGCUAAACAAGAUGGAGCUCUGAUUAAUAUAUUCCUAAAAGAUCACAGAAUUGACACAUUUGCAAGUCAUAGUGGUAAUGGGAACUUACCAGCCCUCUGAGUUUCAACUGGAAAUCUCAUUUCUCUAAAAGCAGAACAUAUGGUAUACUUUUGACCUUGUCCUGCUGUUAAUUUCAUUUUGCAGAGGAAGAGAAAGAAACACAAGGAACUUCCCUCCUAAAUUUAAUUCUGACCUUGGAAGAAGAACUAAAAACUGAUUAUUGAAGCAGAAGUAUAGGAAGCUAGGGCUGGGGGACUGGGAAUCUUUCACAUGGGGGGGUUAAAAUGCCCCCCCCCCAAAAAAAAAAAAACAUUCGGAGGAGGCUCUGACAUGGAACCUGAAGUCAGCACACAACUCUCAGAAGUUUGGAGGAAAGUGCAGUCUGAUCCCAUAACCAAACAAUCUGAAAGAGAAAACAGUAUAAAAGGGAUGACAGGAUCUCAAAACAGAAAAUCUGAGGGUUGAAGAGCAUGGCUCCUGAUAAGGGGUGAAGGGGAUUGGCCUCCAAAAAUGCCAGUAUGCCUGCACAGAGAGCAGUUUAACGAGCUUAAUUUAUCAAAGGCCUCUGCAGAAGAUGGGAGAAGUGUACAGCAGAUGGUGAUCUGUAGAUGCCUCUUUGUUUCAGAUACCAUCUAGAAUGAGCUGUCCAGAUCAUUGCCUUCAAGAUACACAUCCGGGGAGGAGAAAAUAAUAAGCCAAUAAAUAAGCAAUAAAACAAUCCAUAAUUCAUAAUAAGCAAUAAUAAAUCCAUAAAGGAUGACAGGUAAGUACAAUAAUGUUAUGUGUCCGUGUGUGUGCUGAACCAACUGAAACUGACAAUAUUCUACCAUUUUGACCUACAAAGAUGGUCAUUUCAUAUGGUACGAACUACGGUAUUGAGGGGGGUGUCAUUCUUCAUAAGGUCAUGAGAAAAGGCCUCUCAGAGAAGGUGGCAUAGGAGCAGGGAUCUGAAUACAGGGAAGGAAUGAGCCAUGUCAAAACAGAAGAGUGUUCCAGACUUAGGGGAAAGCAAGGUUCAAUAUUUUGAGGUGGGAAUGCUGGGUGUGUGUGAGGAAUGUCUGGAAGUCCAGCGUAGAUACACUAGAGGAAUAGGGCAGAAGCAGCACGAGAGAAGGUGAAAGUGGCAGCCAGAGACAGAUCAUAUAGGAGGGCCUUAUAUAGCCCACAGGUCAUGACAAAGACUGAGUUUUGUUCAGGGAAUAAAAUGAGAAGCCCUUAGAGAUCUGAGAACAGAGGUGAUGUGAUAAAAGAUCAACCUUAGGAACUCUGUGGAGGAGCAAGCAUGGAAGCGGGGUGAGGGAGCAGGGAGGAGGCAGUGAAGGAGGUGAGGCUGGAUAGACGUUAGGAUAUAAAAGUGGCAGAAUUUGCAGGUUGAAUUAGAUAUAACAGUUGAGAAUGAAAAAUUGAAGAUGACAAGAAUUUUGACCUGAGCUACUGGAUAAAUGGAACCAUUUACUGAACUAGGAAAGAGAGAAGGUAAAAAAUGUAUGUGGGUAGAAAAAAAAAAGUUUGAUUUUAAAUACAUUCAAUUUAACGUUCUUCUCAGUUAUCUAGUUUGAGAUAACGGGGUAGGAAGCUGGAUAAACAAAUUUAGUGUUUUAAGAAUAGGACAAAACAAGAUAUAUACACUUGGGAGUUAUUAGCAUAAUGAUUUAUUUAAUGCAAGGGGUGGGUAGAAAUCAAGGGAAUGAAUGUAGAUAGAACAGAGACGAGGUUCUCUGAGGCACCUGGGCAGUUCAGUGGUUGAGCAUCUGCCUUUGGCUCAGGUCAUAAUCCCUGAGUCCAUGAUCCCUGGGAUCCCUGCGUCCUGGGUCCUCCCCACAGGGAGCCUGCUUCUCCCUCUGCCUAUAUCUCUGCCUCUCUCUGUGUCUCUCAUGAAUAAACAAAUAAAAUCUUAAAAAAAAAAAAAAAAGAACAGAGAAGAGGUCUAAGAACAGAGGUCCAGGACACUUCACCACUUAGAGGUUGUGAGGAAGCAGAUCCAGCACAGGAGACUUAGGAGCAGCUGUCAGCGAGGAUAGAGGACAAGCAUACACACAGUCACUCUAAGGCCCAGUCCUUGCCAUAUCCCUGUUUGCAAGAGGCAUCUUUUGAGAAGGCAUAAGGGAAGCUAGAGAAGGAUCCACAGGAGAAUCCUCAGACAUCAUCAGUUCAAAUAAAUAUGAGGGUAAAACUCUAGAGACUCCCUCCUGUCCAUGAGAAUGAUCCUCUGUGCCACCUCUACCUUUUCCUAACCUCAAGUGACAAAAGUCAGUUCCUCAUAUUUCAAGUACAGAAAUGCCUCUUGGCCUUUCCAAUGGUCACAACAAGUAUAACUCACAAAUCCUAAUCAAAAUGCAAUCACUUUCUAGAAGUUCAUCUGAAAAUAACUCCUGCCCAGGGUAUGAAAGAUCUGGCUCCAAGGAAACCCCAGAGGAAUUCUCAGACAUGUAUUGGCAAAGAAUAUUAAAGGACUAAAGACUAAAUUAAUUAGAAGACUACACAAAGGAAAAGAAGAGGAGGAUCCGAAAAGAUGAUCAAAGAUAGAGUAAACGGUAAACAGUCAUUCUGGGUGGUACUGUUUGGAGACCACCUCUAGAAUACAGUUACAAAUCUGCAGAAAAGCCUUCUAGAAGAGGCCAGGUCUCUGCCACUUGGGACAAUUGGGUCAACAGGACUUGCUGAGUGGUGUUUAUAUGCCCCUCUGGCUACAGAGCUAGGGAAAGAUACCUGCCCAGAUCCACCUCCCUCAGGGAGUCAGAAGAGACUCCCAGCAGGAGGAACCAGGUAGGUACAUACCAGUCAGAGCUGCCCCCAUACUCAGGGUGAUUCCACCAGUUGCAAAGUAAAAUUUUUAUUCUAGGUAUCUCCGUAAAUAAAUAAACAGCCAAGUGCUGAUCUUAAGAUCAUAAGAUUUUUAGAAAAGGUAUUCAGAAGUAUGAAUUUUAAAAGUAGUGUUCACUUGUGCAUUGCUGGGGGAAUAAAAUGAUGCAGCCACUGUGGAAAACACAUGGCAGUGCCUUAUCACGUGAUCAAGUAGUUCCACUCCUGGGAUUCUUUUCUUCUUUCAAAAAAGUGAAGACAAGGACUCAAACAGAUAUUUAUACACUCAUGUUCUUAGCAAUGUUAUUCAAAAUAGCCAAAAAGCUGAAGCAAUCUAAAUGUCUGUCAACAGAGGAAUGAAUUAAAAAAUAUGGUAACUGCAUACAGUGGAAUAUUAGUCUAAAAAAGAAGGAAAUUCUGACAUCAGACAACAUGGGAUGAAGCUUGAAGACAACAUGCUAAGUGAAUUAAGCCAAUCACAAAAAGACAAAUGUGUGCUUCUACUUCUAUGAGGUACCCAGACUUGUCAUGUUCAUAGAGACAGAAAGUAGGAAGCUGGCUGCCAGGUGCAGGGGGAAGGAGGUCAUGGGAAGUUACUGUUUAAGGGGAACAGAGUUUCAGGUUAGGAUGAUGAAAAAGUUUUGGAGGUGGAUGAUGUGAAUAUACUUAAUGUCAUCAAGUUGUACGCUUAACAAUGGGUAAAGUGGUAAAAACAAAGGUGAAGUGUUCCAAGAGUAUAAGGUUAAAAGGUGAUGGUUCAUUAGGCAAAUGUGUCUCAAACGCAUGAUCGAAAUUCCUUAGUUGGAACAAAAAUCUCAUUGUUAGUAUUAAAGAAGCCAUCUUUUAAAAUAUGUGGGAGUGUAUACGUGUAAAACUUGGUAUAUGUGUGUCAACAUAUUAGUUUUGUGUGGCUCACCUUCAGGAUUCUUUCUCUUCUUCGUGAAUGUGAGAUAAAUUCAUCAUGGAAAAAUUACAGAUCUCAGUAUAAUUCUGAUAGCUGGAGGAUAGUGUAUUUUCAAGUGUACUGGACUUUAAAUAACUAAGCCAAAAUGGUUGCAUUAAUUAACUUAUAUCCUUAAUCACUAAUUUCAUUUUUUAUAUUUCCCCUGACUUCUGGGGGAGGAAUAAUCUUUGUCUCAAAAGCAGACUUUAGUGACCUAAUGAUUUGAAAAGCAACCAGAGAUAACGAGGUAAAGAUAUUUAAAUGGAAACAUGCCAGCAAUUACUAGUUAAUUGAAAGUUUUGAUGUUUUUGGCCUGAGGUCUAUGCUUUCCCUGCUAAACUAUAAUGUGGGCAGGGGAGAGUAACAACAUUGUUUCCUCUUUUAAAAUGAAAGUGCCGAUGAGUAAUUUUGAAGUUUUUAUUAAAUUAAACAUUAAAAGAUGGUAAAAAUAACAAUUUAAAAAAUCUGUUAUAUCUCAGUUGAGGGAUUUUCUUUUUUAAUUUUUUAAAUUGCAAUAUAAGUGACAUACAAUAUUAGUUUAAGGUGUACAACAUAGUGAUCAACGUAUGUAUAUAUAGUGAGAUGAUCACUACAAUGAGUAUAAUUAACAUCCAUCACCACACAUAGUUGCAAAUUUGUUUUCUUUUGAUUAUAACUUUUGAGAUCUACCCCCUUAGGAGCCUUCAAAUAUGUGAUACAGUAUUGUUAACUAUAGUCACCUGCUAUACAUUACACCGCCAGAGCUUAUUUGUUUUAUAAUUGGAAGUUUAAAACUUUUGACCUCCUUUACCCAUUUCUUCCCUCACCCCUUGCCUGACAACAACUCAUCUGUUCUAUAAGUUUGGCUUUUUUUAUUUUUUUGAUUCUAUGUUAUCAGUGAGAUCAUAUAGCAUUUGUCUUUCUCUGGCAUUUCAUUUAUGUUCAUCUAUGUUGUUGCAAAUGGCAGGAUUUCCUUCUUUUUAUGGCUGAAUAAUAUUAUAUUGUCUCUCUCUCUCUCUCUCUCUCUCUAUAUAUAUAUAUAUAUAUAUAUAUAUAUAUAUAUAUAUAUAUAUAUAUACCACAUCUUCUUGAUCCAUUAAUCCAUUGGUGGACACUUAGAUUGUUUCCAUGUCUGGGCUAUUGUGAUAAUGCUGCAAUAAACAUGAGAGUGCAGAUAAUCUCUUUAAGAUAGUGGUUUCAUUUCCUUUGUAUAUAUACCCCAUGUAUAUGUUACUCUAUUCUACCAACAUUUGUGAAUCAUAUGUUACUUCUAUUUUUAACAUUUUUGAGGAACCUCCGUACUGUUUUCUACAGUGGCUGCACUGUAUUGUAUUGCAUUCCCAUCAACAGAGCUAGAGGGUUCCCUUUUUUCCACAUUUUCACCAACAUUUGUUACGUCUUGUCUU